rnacentral:rRNA from 1 species
CAGUAGCCGCGGUAAUACGGAAGGUCCAGGCGUUAUCCGGAUUUAUUGGGUUUAAAGGGAGUGUAGGCGGUCUGUUAAGCGUGUUGUGAAAUUUAGGUGCUCAACAUCUAACUUGCAGCGCGAACUGGCGGACUUGAGUGCACGCAACGUAUGCGGAAUUCAUGGUGUAGCGGUGAAAUGCUUAGAUAUCAUGACGAACUCCGAUUGCGAAGGCAGCGUACGGGAGUGUUACUGACGCUUAAGCUCGAAGGUGCGGGUAUCGAACAGGAUUAGAUACCCGCGUAGUCCCUGUCUCUUAUAU